rnacentral:rRNA from 1 species
AUUGAACGCUGGCGGCAGGCCUAACACAUGCAAGUCGAGCGGAUGAAGGGAGCUUGCUCCUGGAUUCAGCGGCGGACGGGUGAGUAAUGCCUAGGAAUCUGCCUGGUAGUGGGGGAUAACGUCCGGAAACGGGCGCUAAUACCGCAUACGUCCUGAGGGAGAAAGUGGGGGAUCUUCGGACCUCACGCUAUCAGAUGAGCCUAGGUCGGAUUAGCUAGUUGGUGGGGUAAAGGCCUACCAAGGCGACGAUCCGUAACUGGUCUGAGAGGAUGAUCAGUCACACUGGAACUGAGACACGGUACAGACUCCUACGGGAGGCAGCAGUGGGGAAUAUUGGACAAUGGGCGAAAGCCUGAUCCAGCCAUGCCGCGUGUGUGAAGCAGGUCUUCGGAUUGUAAAGCACUUUAAGUUGGGAGGAAGGGCAGUAAGUUAAUACCUUGCUGUUUUGACGUUACCAACAGAAUAAGCACCGGCUAACUUCGUG